UCGUCCUCCGUGAGUGUUGUGCGCGCA
rnacentral:piRNA from 1 species